AGAGUGAACGCUGGCGGCAGGCCUAAUACAUGCAAGUCGAACGGCAGCACGGCAGAGCUUGCUCUGUGGGUGGCGAGUGGCGGACGGGUGAGGAAUACAUGGGAAUCUGCCCAGUCGUGGGGGAUAACGUAGGGAAACUUACGCUAAUACCGCAUGCGCCCGUUCGGGGGAAAGCCGGGGACCUUCGGGCCUGGCGCGAUUGGAUGAGCCCAUGUCGGAUUAGCUAGUUGGCGGGUAACGCCCACCAAGGCGACGAUCCGUAGCUGGUCUGAGAGGAUGAUCAGCCACACUGGAACUGAGACACGGUCCAGACUCCGUACGGGAGCAGCAGUAGGGAAUAGUGGACAAGUGGGCACAAGCCUGACUCCAGCCAUGCCGCGUGAGUGAAGAGGCCGUUCGGUAGUAAGUCUU
rnacentral:rRNA from 1 species